GACGUCGUCCAUGCCUGGGGGAGAGAACCGCGGUCGGGGGCCAACAGGAAGUAGGCCAGCGACACGGCGGGGAUCGCCACGGGAAACGUCGGCUUCCUGCCCUUAUGGCCGCAAAGUGUGACUGCGUUCUGCUGACUCGUCUGUUUUUGUGCAAUCCAACCACAACUUUGUAGCAAUUGACUGGAAGCGCUCAGAAAAUGGUGCGUUUGAGUGUCAGCGAAAGCUGGGAUUUUGGAAAAGGCCCGAGUCAUGGCAGCCAAGCAGGGCCCCUGAUUAUGCAAAAGUGACUUUUUAAGGAUGUUUCAACAAAAAUAUGCAUCUCUUUAAGAACCAUCCAUCCACUUCCUACCGCUUGUCCCUUUUUGGGGUCGUGGGGGGUGCUGGAGCCUAUCUCAGCUGCAUUCAGGCGGAAGGCGGGCUACACCCUGGACAAGUCGCCACCUCAUCGCAGGGCCAACACAGAUAGACAACAUUCACACUCACAUUCACACACUAGGGCCAAUUUAGUGUUGCCAAUCAACCUAUCCCCAGGUGCAUGUCUUUGGAGGUGGGAGUUGUGACUUAAAAAAAAAACUUUAUUAAUACUCCAUCCAUCCAUUUUCUUUCGCUUAUCCAAGGUCGGGUCGCGGGGGCAGCAGCCUAAGCAGGGAUCCCCAGACUUUCCCCUCCCCACCCACUUCGUCCAGCUCUUCCUAGGGGAUCCCAAGGCUUUCCUAGGACAGCCAGGCGACAUAGUCUUCCCAACAUGUCCUGGGUCUUACCUGUGGCCUCCUACCGGUUAGACGUUUCCUAAACACCUCCAUAGGGAUGCGUUCGGGUGGCGUUCUGGCCAGAUGCCCGAACCACCUCAUCUGGCUCCUCUCGAUUUAAUAAUACAACCACUUGUAUUUAAGUUCUUAGGGCAGAGGUGGACAACCCAAAAUGUCGAAAGAGCCAUAUUGGACCAAAAAUACAAAAAAACAAAUCAGUUUGGAGCCGCAAAGAAUUAAAAGCCGUAUAUAAGUCUUAUCAUGAAGACAACACAUGACGUAGGUGUCUAUAUUAGUUAUAAUAGCCUACUAUCAAAAUGACUAUGUGCCGCAGGCUGAAGCAAAUCUUCAUUGACAGACUUGUUGAAAUUUGAUAUUUAUUCUACACAUUUUUACAACAUUAGAAACUAUUAGUAAAUCAUAAGCUACUCAAAAGGUGAAAUAACUCCUGGAAAUCACAGGCUUUUAAUGGCCAAAGGUAUAGAUGUUUGUGUCCAAGUCAAAGGAAAGGCAGGCUGUCUUCUUUUAAUAGAUUUAUUACACUCUUUGGCAAGCUGGGUAACGUUUGCUGUGGUCUGGAACAACAUGGCACACAAACAACUAUCAGAAAUACAGCCAAUAUUACAUACAGAUAAUGUGUCAUGAGUGAAGUGAAGUGAAUUAUAUUUAUAUGGCGCUUUUUCUCUAGUGACUCAAAGCGCUUUACAUAGUGAAAACCAAUAUCUAAUUUUUACAUUCAAACCAGUGUGGUUGGCACUGGGAGCAGGUGGGUAAAAGAUCUUGCCCAAGAACACAAAAGCACUGACUAGGAUGGCGGAAGCGGGGUUCGAACCUGCAUCUCUCAAGUUGCUGGCACGGCCGCUCUACCAACCAAGCUAUACUGCUCCAAUGAGACAUGCACAACUAAAUUGUAUACAAAGAGGGAUUAAAGUGAAGGAUAUUAGAUAAGCGCAAAUAUACUUGUUGCCAAAAGUAUUUGGCCACCCAUCUAAAUGAUGAGAAUCAGCUGUCCUAAUCACAGGUGUAUAAAAUCAAGCACUUAGGCAUGAAGACUGUUUCUACAAACAUUUGUGGAAGAAUGGGCCGCUCUCAGUGAUUUCCAGCGUGGAGCUGUCAUCAUAGGAUGCCACCUGUGCAAAAAAUCAAGUCGUGAAAUUUCCUCGCUCCUAAAUAUUCCAAAGUCAACUUUACUAUAAGAGAAGUGAAGAAUUUGGGAACAACAGCAAGUCAGCCACCAAGUGGUAGGCCAUGUAAACUGACAGAGAGGGGUCAGCAGAUGCUGAAGCGCAUAGUGCAAAGACUUUCUGCGCAGUCAGUUGCUACAGAGCUCUAAACUUCAUGUGACCUUCCAAUUAGCCCACAUUAAGUACGCAGAGAGCUUCAUGGAAUGGGUUUCCAUGGCCGGACAGCUGCAUCUAAGUCAUACAUUACUAAGUCCAAUGCAAACCAUGGGUUGCAGUGAUGUAAAGCACGUCGCCACUGGACUCUAGAGCAGUGGAGACGCCUUCUCUAGAGUGAUGAAUCACGCUUUUACAUCUGGCAAUCUGAUGGACGAGUCUGGGUUUUGAGGUUGCAUGGAGAACGGUACAUUUGGGACUGCAUCGUGCCGAGUGUGAAAUUUGGUGGAGGAGGAAUUAUGGUGUGGGGUUGUUUUUCAGAUGUUGGGCUUGUCCCCUCAGUUCCUGUGAAAGGAACUUUGAAUGCUCCAGGAUACCAAAACAUUUUGGACAAUUCCAUGGGAUGGCACUUCAAGUUCAUAUGUGAGUAAAGGCAGGUGGCCAUAUACUGUUGGCAAAAUAGUGGAUCUACAAAUGAGGCAUAAUGAUGCAAUAUAUACAUACAGCUAGCCUAAAUAGCAUAUUAGCAUUGAUUAGCUAGCAGUCAUGCACUAACCAAAUAUGGCUAAUUCGCACCCCAACAAGUCAAUAACAUCAACAAAGUGCACCAAUUUGCCUUUACGCACAGCAUAAAACUUUUGGUGGACAAAACAAGGAGUGGACCCCGACUUAAGAAAGUUGAAAAACUAAUUCGGGUGUUAACAUUUAGCGGUCAAUUGUACGGAAUAUGUACUGUACUGUGCAAUCUACUAAUAAAAGUUUCAAUCAAUCAAUCAAUGGAAGAUUUUACAUGUAAACAAACUGUUGUGUCACAGUCCACACUAUGAUGAGUUCAAGAACCGCCAAAAAUUAGUAGGACAAAACGAUGUUCCACAAAUACUCCAAUCAGCGAAGCAUAAACACAAACAUAUGAAACAGUGGGCGUUCUAACAAUUGGGAAGGUUUGUGUCAUGUUUGUCUUUAAAAUAAAAAGCAUACUAAAACAAAAGAAUAUUUUUCUCCUAUCUUUUUCCAUUUUCAAUCCUUUUUUUUGGAAUAAAAAUGCGCCUGGGAGCCACUGGGGUAUGAGACUCAAGAGCUACAGGUUGCUGACCCCGUCCUAGGCUCAUAAAACAACAUGCAGUACAAUGCAUCGGCCACCACCAGGGGGCGGCAAAU